UGCAGCCUUGUCAAAUUCAGAGGUACUUUUCCAUGGUACUUACUGGCUUAAAUGGCUGCUACAGUAAACUUGCAGUUCGUGGGCCCCGUAUCUACGUCAUUGGGUGCUGGGGAUAAGUAAAGUUCUGCAGACAUAU